UGCUGAUUGACAUUGCACAUUGUUGCAUAGCUUGUUGUCUAUAACAAUUCCCAAGUCCUUUUCAUGUGUUGUUAUCCCUAAUUCGCUUCCAUUAAGGGUAUACGUUGCUUGUGUAUUCUUUAUGCCAAAGUGCAUAACUUUGCAUUUUUCAACAUUAAAUUUCAUCUGCCAUUUGAGUGCCCAGUCCCCCAGUCUAUCUAAGUCCCUCUGC
rnacentral:lncRNA from 1 species